rnacentral:rRNA from 1 species
UACCAGCACCCCGAGUGGUCGGGACGAUUAUUGGGCCUAAAGCAUCCGUAGCCGGUUCUACAAGUCUUCCGUUAAAUCCACCUGCUUAACAGAUGGCUGCGGAGGAUACUAUGGAGCUAGGAGGCGGGAGAGGCAAGCGGUACUUAGUGGGUAGGGGUAAAAUCCGUUGAUCCAUUGAAGACCACCAGUGGCGAAGGCGGCUGCCAGA